ensembl:lncRNA
CAGAGUGUCAGGACUGCUGCAUAUACUCUCCCCGAUGGCACCAUUGUAGACCCGAGACAACAACAACCCAUUUCCCCAAACCUGGCCAAGGCACUCGGCAACCCAGCUCUGCGUGAAGCCUCCUAUUCUCUCCCCGAUGGUACCAUUGUGAUUGACCCCAAGAAACCAAAGUCCCCAAACCUUUCAGCAGCUCUUCAGAACCCUUACCUGAAAGUUGCAUCUUACACCCUGCCUGAUGGUACAAUCAUCAUUGAUCCACGGAAACCGGUCUCUCCAAACCUCUCCGCCGCCCUUCAAAAGUCUGCCCUGCGGAACGCCUCCUUCACACUACCAGAAGGGGUCCAUGACCCCAAUAGACCCCUUUCACCCAACCUGGCUAAGGCCCUUGGUAAUCCAGCCCUGAAAGGAGCUUCAUACACCCUCCCAGAUGGAACUAUUAUUGUAGACCCGAGGAAACCAAAGAGUCCAAGCCUGGCUGCUGCACUACAGAAUCCUUACCUUAAGGGUGUGUCCUUAACCCUGCCUGAUGGAACAAUCAUCAUUGACCCACGAAAACCAGUUGGCCCUGACCUGUCCAGAGCUCUCAUGAAUCAGAACCUGCGUAGUGCUUCGUACAUCCUCCCGGAUGGAUCCCUGGUUAUUCCGGGCCAAAAACCCUCUACUCCAAACCUUUCAGCCGCUCUCAGGCAAAACCAUGCACUUCGGUCGGAAGGUCUCUAUCAUCUCAGAGAAAACUCUGUACUGUCCGGCACACCCAAACCCACCCCUCCUAAUCUAUCCGCUGCACUGCGGAAAGACGAACUCCGUGAUGUCAAAUAUAGGCUGCCUGACGGCUCUGUUCUCACACGCCGUUUCCACGUCCCAAAUCUGUCUGAAGCCGUCCAAAACCAGCAGCUUCGCUAUGCCUCAUACAGGGUGCCAACAGGCCUGCAGGGAGAGGAUAAUCGCUACGCUGUGGUUCCUCCGUAUGGGCCGAGCUCAGGACACUGGGCCAGAAAUGCCCAUGGUGGAGGGCCAGGGGGGGAAGAGGUCUGGGCAGCUGAGAGGGUUCUACCACACGGGACGGUCCAGAAUCUGUCAAAGUGGUCCAUGUACAGAGAAGACGGGUUGUUGGAGGGAUAUUCACCCUCACCUCGACCGGUGGACGGACAGAUCCAGGACACUAACUGGACUCCCAACAGAGAUAGGGUACCUGGUCAAAGCUGGUAUGACAAGAUCUACUCUAUCCUAAGCAUGCCCACAACAGGCCAUCGGGCGAAAAGCUGGGCGGAAGGAAUGGAGGACAUGAC